rnacentral:rRNA from 1 species
UUCCCGGGCCUUGUACACACCGCCCGUCACACCACGAAAGUUGGCAAUACCCGAAGCCGGUGGCCUAACCCGCAAGGGAGGGAGCCGUCUAAGGUAGGUCGAUGAUUGGGGUG